CACAUAAGCGCUAAGAUGUGCACGUAAUCGUCGCGGAGAACAAGGCCGAUCAACAUUGUUUCGCGAAGUGUGCUCAAGGUCGAGAAGUUUGAAGAUGUGUAAUCAGGAACCAUUUCCAAAAUGUCACGUUCCGAUGAGUCAUUGUACAUAUUUUGGUACGGUUUAAUAUAUGAGACGUCGGCGAUACCACCAUCGGCAUUAGUGAACUUGUUCUGCAUGCGGAAACAUAACCGUAUCAAAACUUCAUAAAAAGACGCCAUAGCUUAAAUUGAAACUUGGUUCCAAAUUUCUUUAUACAUCAUGACGCAACCGAAUGUGCAACCGUAUAUGCAACGGUCUACGCCACCGCUUGUGAAAACGACUGUGUCUUCCGACGGACCACAAGAAGAACUUAUUAUGAAAAAGAUCCGCUUCAUCAUGAUUCUAAACUGGAUAAUCGUCGGGCUCGUCUUCUUAGCGAUUAUACUAAUACUGGUAAUGUGUGGCAAUGAUAAGCGUCGAAAGAAGAGGGAAACGCCGAGAAUCCCCAAAGCAACAGAUGAACAGGACAUCAUGAAUGAUGAAGACGAUGCAAUAUCGGUUCAUCAAAAAAAUUUGUAAUUGAAUUGCACCAUUGAAAUGUACGAUCGUCGCAAUAUAAAAUAAUAUAUUGAAAAAUCUAGUUCACUGACCCAACAUUUAAAAAAAAUUUUUGUAAGCCAAUGUAGUCCGUUAUUUUUUUUGUCAUUACUAAGAGGUAAUCGUGUUACAUACAUUUAUUGGACGCAAUAGGAAAAAGGAAGUGGAAAAUAAUAAUAAUAAUAAUAAUAAUAAUAUCCUUUUUACAUAAUACGCCCACCAAAACUCGGGAAGUUGAUAAAGAAAUAAUUAGGUCCCCUUCAUAUCUGCCAACAGUAUCGGGGAAAUGAAGUUCAAAUAAAGCGACAGAUAAAGAAAAAAAAGGAAGUUCGCUAAAUAUAAAAAUUUUCGGUCAAGGAAAGAUGCGGCACGUGCACUAAUAUAUAUAGUACUGUGAGGCUGUAAGCCGCAAGGCCUUAUCACAAGGAAAGAAAGAAAAAACAUCCUGUGACGCAGUACCAAAAACCAGUAGUAACAAUGGUAUUUUCAUACUUCGUUGCCAUGCGCACUAAAAAUACUUUUCUUGUAAGCGAAAAAGAAUAAGACAGGAUCACCCCACCAAGAAAUUAGCCAAUAGCUAGGAAGCCACUGAAUGGGGGCAAGGGCUAUUUAAACGAGAAAAAGCGACGCCCAAGUGUGUGAUUUUUACCAAAUCUUUUCGAAGUCGUUACUACGUUCAAUUAUUUCGCGAAUUUUCGUCCCAAUUAAGACUUAUAAAAUUCUCAAUAAAGUAUGCAAAUAAUCUGAAAUUCAAUCACCUACUCCACGAGUCAAUUUAUACUAGAGUGAACAUUUUGUAAAAGUUUAGAAUUAAUUAAUCAGAAUAAGUUCAUUUAUCGACAAGUUGUAAAUUGUAACCCCUACGACGACGUUUUGUACCGGCCAACUGUAAAUCAGGAAAUCAGGAGAAAUCCGACCAAAUAAAAUAUCAAUCAGCUUAUAAAUCGUGAAA